rnacentral:rRNA from 1 species
UACGCAGGGUGCAAGCGUUAAUCGGAAUUACUGGGCGUAAAGCGUGCGCAGGCGGUUAUGCAAGACAGAUGUGAAAUCCCCGGGCUUAACCUGGGAACCGCAUUUGUGACUGCAUAGCUGGAGUACGGCAGAGGGGGAUGGAAUUCCGCGUGUAGCAGUGAAAUGCGUAGAUAUGCGGAGGAACACCGAUGGCGAAGGCAGUCCCCUGGGCCUGUACUGACGCUCAUGCACGAAAGCGUGGGGAGCAAACAGG